rnacentral:rRNA from 1 species
UACGUAGGUGGCAAGCGUUGUCCGGAUUUAUUGGGUUUAAAGGGUGCGUAGGCGGUCCCAUAAGUCAGUGGUGAAAUACUCUAGCUUAACUAGAGGGGUGCCAUUGAUACUGCGGGACUUGAGUGGAGUUGAAGUGGGCGGAAUUGACGGUGUAGCGGUGAAAUGCUUAGAUAUCGUCAAGAACACCGAUAGUGAAGACAGCUCACUAAGCUCAAACUGACGCUGAGGCACGAGAGUGUGGGGAUCAAACAGG